AUACUUACCUGGCAGGGGAGAUAUCGCGAUCACGAAGGUGUUUUUCCCAGGGCGAGGCUUAUCCAUAGUACUCCGUAUGUGCUGACCCCUGCGAUUUCCCCAAAGGUGGGAAACUCGACUGCAUAAUUUGUGGUAGUGGGGGACUACGUUCGCGCUUUCCCCUGGUGCUUUUGUGGUGUGAAUAGUAGGUGAGCCCUAAGUGUUUUUGUAAUUCAGGGUGCGGGCUCGUGUUUUGUGGCUGUGUUCUGUCCGGUCAGUUGUUUCCGUUCGCAACGGUUAGUUUUCGUUUGUGAGGUCAUGUUUGGGGACAGCUUAGAACUAUCCACUUCCUCUCUUGGGGGGCGAA
rnacentral:snRNA from 1 species